rnacentral:lncRNA from 1 species
AGCUUAGCAGUUAGAAGCAAGAUACAGUCAGGUCAACUUUUUAACACUGUCUCAGUUAUAAUUUUGCAAUGAAAGAAAAAAAAGGAGUGAAGGAGAGGAAGAAAGAAGAAGAAAAAAAGGGAGAGAGAAUGGGAAUGUAACUUUAUUCUAAAAAGUGUUGCCAGAGGAGAAGGACAUUUGACUUGGUGGAUUGGAAGAGGAAGACCUACCCUCAAUACAGGUGGGCACCAUAAAAACAGCUGCCAGUACAACUAGAAGCAGCUUGAAGAGGGUAGCAUAGCUUUUCU